rnacentral:lncRNA from 1 species
AAGGACAAAAUGAUAACUGGAGGACCAGCUGGUUUUCCUGUAAACUUCUUCAAAGAAAGACCCAGCUGGUCACUGAGGGCACCUUCUGGGGCCCUGGGCAUGGACAGGGCACAGGUCAAGUAGGUGAUGGUGUGAUGAUGAGAGGGGUGCAUUUGUCCCAGGAGGUCCUUCCACACGACCCAGCACAACUUCCUAAUCAUCUCCUCUGCGCCCUCCCCUGGGCUGGCCCCUGGGGAUGGAGACAUUGAAGGACACAGUGCCUGCCCUAUUGGGCCCUGAAGUCUGGGGUGGCAAAAGGAGGCGCAUGAAGCCAACAGAUUAUAGGACAAUGCAGACUCAUAAUAGUUACCAACAAGAAUGAAUGAUGUGCAACAGGAAUGGGAGAGUCUGCUGCAGCCUGGAAGCAUCAGAGGAGGCCAGAGAGAGAAGGGAGCAUGGCAGCCCAUUCUUCAAAAAUGAGGACAUCUUUCGCUGGAGAUGCAAACGCCUGAAAAGGAGGAUGGUGCAACUUCGAAGUGGGAGAGUGCAGGGAGAUGACAAUGAUAGGACAGGAGUGAGCUCUACUA